rnacentral:rRNA from 1 species
GACGAACGCUGGCGGCGUGCUUAACACAUGCAAGUCGAACGGUGAUGAUCAAGCUUGCUUGUUCUGAUCAGUGGCGAACGGGUGAGUAACACGUGAGUAAUCUGCCCCUGGCUCUGGGAUAAGCACUCGAAAGGGUGUCUAAUACCGGAUAUGACCCUCUCCUGCAUGGGAUGUGGGUGGAAAGUUUUUUCGGCUGGGGAUGUGCUUGCGGCCUAUCAGCUUGUUGGUGGGGGAAUGGCCUACCAAGGCUUUGACGGGUAGCCGGCCUGAGAGGGUGACCGGUCACACUGGGACUGAGACACGGCCCAGACUCCUACGGGAGGCAGCAGUGGGGAAUAUUGGACAAUGGGCGGAAGCCUGAUCCAGCAACGCCGCGUGAGGGAUGACGGCCUUCGGGUUGUAAACCUCUUUCAGUACCGACGAAGCGGAAGUGACGGUAGGUACAGAAGAAGCACCGGCCAACUACGUGCCAGCCGCCGCCGUAAAAC